rnacentral:rRNA from 1 species
UACAGAGGUCCCAAGCGUUGUUCGGAUUCACUGGGCGUAAAGGGUGCGUAGGUGGUGAGGUAAGUCGGAUGUGAAAGCUCCGAACUCAACUCGGAAAUGGCAUUGGAAACUACCUUGCUCGAGGGUUUGAGGGGGGACUGGAAUACUUGGUGUAGCAGUGAAAUGCGUAGAUAUCAAGUAGAACACCAGUGGCGAAGGCGAGUCCCUGGAAAACUCCUGACACUGAGGCACGAAAGCUAGGGGAGCAAACAGG